AGACCAGACUCCUACGGGAGGCAGCAGUGGGGAAUAUUGCACAAUGGGGGAAACCCUGAUGCAGCGACGCCGCGUGAGUGAAGAAGUAUCUCGGUACGUAAAGCUCUAUCAGCAGGGAAGAAAAUGACGGUACCUGACUAAGAAGCCCCGGCUAACUACGUGCCAGCAGCCGCGGUAAUACGUAGGGGGCAAGCGUUAUCCGGAUUUACUGGGUGUAAAGGGAGCGUAGACGGCAAGGCAAGUCUGGAGUGAAAGCCCGUGGCUCAACCACGGGACUGCUUUGGAAACUGUGUUGCUGGAGUGCAGGAGGGGUAAGCGGAAUUCCUAGUGUAGCGGUGAAAUGCGUAGAUAUUAGGAGGAACACCGGUGGCGAAGGCGGCUUACUGGACUGUAACUGACGUUGAGGCUCGAAGGCGUGGGGAGCAAACAGGAUUAGAUACCCUUGUAGA
rnacentral:rRNA from 1 species